rnacentral:rRNA from 1 species
UACGUAGGCAGCAAGCGUUUGUUCGGAGUUACUGGGCGUAAAGGGUGUGUAGGCGGUUGUUUUAAGUUCGGUGUGAAAUCUCCUGGCUUAACUGGGAGGGUGCGCCGGAAACUGGGGUGCUCGAGCGUGGGAGAGGAAAGCGGGAAUUCCUGGUGUAGCGGUGAAAUGCGCAGAUAUCAGGAGGAACACCGGUGGCGAAGGCGGGGUCUCUGGGCCGUAACUGACGCUGAGGAGCGAAAGCGUGGGGAGCGAACAGG